rnacentral:rRNA from 1 species
UAGGGAAUCUUCCACAAUGGACGCAAGUCUGAUGGAGCAACGCCGCGUGAGUGAAGACGGUUUUCGGAUCGUAAAGCUCUGUCGUUGGUGAAGAAGGAUAGAGGCAGUAACUGGUCUUUAUUUGACGGUAAUCAACCAGAAAGUCACGGCUAACUACGUGCCAGCAGCCGCGGUAAUACGUUGGUGGCAAGCGUUGUCCGGAUUUAUUGGGCGUAAAGCGAGCGCAGGCGGACUGAUAAGUCUGAUGUGAAAGCCCACGGCUCAACCGUGGAACUGCAUCGGAAACUGUCAUUCUUGAGUGCAGAAGAGGAGAGUGGAAUUCCAUGUAUAGCGGUGGAAUGCGUAGGUAUAUGGAAGAACAACAGUGGCGAAGGUGGCACUCUGGUCUGCAACUGACGCUGAGGCUCGAAAGCAUGGGUAGCGAACAGG